rnacentral:rRNA from 1 species
UGGAAGAUGAUCUCGGUUCCAUUUUGCUGGCUCUGGGAACCCGAGUUAAUGAUAAACAGGGACUGUCGGGGGCAUCCGUACUACGACGCGAGAGGUGAAAUUCAGUGACCGUCGUAGGACGAACAACAGCGAAAGCAUUUGCCAAGAAUGUCUUCGUUGAUCAAGAACGAAAGUUAGAGGAUCGAAGGCGAUCAGAUACCGCCCUAGUUCUAACCCUAAACGAUGCUGACUAGCAAUUCGCCGUCGUUAUUCCCAUGACGUGGCGAGACGCCCCCGGGAAACCUCAAGUCUUUGAGUUCCGGGGGUAGUAUGGUUGCAAAACUGAAACUUAAAGGAAUUGRCGGAAGGGCACCACCAGGAGUGGAGCCUGCGGCUUAAUUUGACUCAACACGGGAAACCUCACCAGGCCCGGACACCAGAAGGAUUGACAGAUUAAGAGCUCUUUCUCGAUUUGGUGGGUGGUGGUGCAUGGCCGUUCUUAGUUGGUGGAGUGAUUUGUCUGGUUAAUUCCGGUAACGAACGAGACUCUGGCCUACUAACUAGUGGAUGGGUGUUCUGGUGCAUGGGCCCCAUCCGAUAAUGUCUUCUUAGAGGGAUGAGCAGCGAGUAUAGCUGCAGGAGAUUGAGCAAUAACAGGUCUGUGAUGCCCUUAGAACC